AUUGAACGCUGGCGGCAGGCUUAACACAUGCAAGUCGAGCGGAGAUGAGGUGCUUGCACCUUAUCUUAGCGGCGGACGGGUGAGUAAUGCUUAGGAAUCUGCCUAUUAGUGGGGGACAACAUUCCGAAAGGAAUGCUAAUACCGCAUACGUCCUACGGGAGAAAGCAGGGGAUCUUCGGACCUUGCGCUAAUAGAUGAGCCUAAGUCGGAUUAGCUAGUUGGUGGGGUAAGGGCCUACCAAGGCGACGAUUUGUAGCGGGUCUGAGAGGAUGAUCCGCCACACUGGGACUGAGACACGGCCCAGACUCCUACGGGAGGCAGCAGUGGGGAAUAUUGGACAAUGGGGGGAACCCUGAUCCAGCCAUGCCGCGUGUGUGAAGAAGGCCUUAUGGUUGUAAAGCACUUUAAGCGAGGAGGAGGCUACUGAGACUAAUACUCUUGGAUAGUGGACGUUACUCGCAGAAUAAGCACCGGCUAACCCUGUGCCAGCCGCCGCAGUAACAC
rnacentral:rRNA from 1 species